UGAAUGUCCUAGGGGGUAUUGCACUUACCGAAGACUAUCAAACUCCGAAUGCCGUAUUCUUUUGCUUGGGAGUCAGACUAUGGGUGAUAAGAUUCAUAGUCAAGAGGGCAACAGCCCAGAUCGUCAGCUAAGGUCCCUAAAUGUAAGUUAAGUGGUAAAGGAUGUGGAAUUGCACAGACAACCAGGAUGUUGGCUUAGAAGCAGCCACUCAUUUAAAGAGUGCGUAAUAGCUCACUGGUCGAGUGAUUCUGCGCCGAAAAUUUCCGGGGCUAAAACUUACUACCGAAGCUACGGCAUCAUUAUGAUGGGUAGGGGAGCUUUCUAUGCGGCUUGAAGCAUGACCGUAAGGACAUGUGGACUGCAUAGAAGUGAGAAUGUUGGCAUGAGUAGCGAGAUGUGGGUGAGAAUCCCACAGGCCGUAAACCCAAGGUUUCCAGGGGAAGGUUCGUCCGCCCUGGGUUAGUCAGGACCUAAGCCGAGGCCGAAAGGCGUAGGUGAUGGACAACAGGUUGAUAUUCCUGUACCACCAAUAACCGUUUGAGAAAUGGGAUGACACAGUAGGAUAAGCUAACCGCACUGUUGGUUAUGUGCGGGCAAGUAUUGAGGCAGUUCCGAUAGGCAAAUCCGUCGGAAUAAUGCUGGGGUACGAUGCGGAGCGAAAUUUAGUAGCGAAGUAGCUGAUUUCACACUGUCGAGAAAAGUCUCUAUCGAGGUUAAAGGUGCCUGUACCGCAAACCGACACAGGUGGGUGAGGAGAGUAUCCUAAGGCCAGCGAGAGAACUGUUGUUAAGGAACUCGGCAAAAUGACCCCGUAACUUAGGGAGAAGGGGUGCCUUCGAAAGAAGGCCGCAGAGAAUAGGCCCAAGCGACUGUUUACCAAAAACAUAGGUUUCUGCUAAGUCGCAAGACGAUGUAUAGGAGCUGACGCCUGCCCGGUGCUGGAAGGUUAAGGGGAUCUGUUAGAGCAAUCGAAGCAGUGAACUUAAGCCCCAGUAAACGGCGGCCGUAACUAUAACGGUCCUAAGGUAGCGAAAUUCCUUGUCGGGUAAGUUCCGACCCGCACGAAAGGCGUAACGAUUUGGGCACUGUCUCAACAACAGACUCGGUGAAAUUGUAAUACCGGUGAAGAUGCCGGUUACCUGCGACAGGACGGAAAGACCCCAUGGAGCUUUACUGUAGCUUGACAUUGAGUCUCGGUGCUACAUGUACAGGAUAGGUGGGAGACUAUGAAGCAUGGACGUCAGUCUGUGUGGAGUCAUCCUUGGGAUACCACCCUUGUAGUACUGGGAUUCUAACCAGAGGCCAUGAAUCUGGUCUUGGGACACUGUCAGGUGGACAGUUUGACUGGGGCGGUCGCCUCCCAAAAAGUAACGGAGGCGCUCAAAGGUUCUCUCAGUACGGUCGGAAAUCGUACGAAGAGUGUAAAGGCAAAAGAGAGCUUGAUUGCAAGACAUACAGGUCGAGCAAGGACGAAAGUCGGACUUAGUGAUCCGGUGGUACCGCAUGGAAGGGCCAUCGCUCAACGGAUAAAAGCUACCCUGGGGAUAACAGGCUGAUCUCCCCCAAGAGUCCACAUCGACGGGGAGGUUUGGCACCUCGAUGUCGGCUCAUCACAUCCUGGGGCUGUAGUAGGUCCCAAGGGUUGGGCUGUUCGCCCAUUAAAGUGGUACGCGAGCUGGGUUCAGAACGUCGUGAGACAGUUCGGUCCCUAUCCGUCGCAGGCGUAGGAAAUUUGAGGAGACCUGUCCUUAGUACGAGAGGACCGGGAUGGACGUACCGCUGGUGUACCAGUUGUUCUGCCAAGGGCAUGGCUGGGUAGCUAAGUACGGAAAGGAUAAGCGCUGAAAGCAUCUAAGCGCGAAGCCCACUUCAAGAUAAGAUUUCCCACCGCAAGGUUAAGAUCCCAGGAAGACUACCUGGUUGA
rnacentral:rRNA from 1 species